rnacentral:rRNA from 1 species
AUUGAACGCUGGCGGCAUGCUUUACACAUUCAAGUCGAACGGGAACAGGCCUUCGGGUGCUGACGAGUGGCGCACGGGUGCGUAAUGCAUCGGAACGUGCCCAGAGGUGUGGGCUAACGCAGCGCAAGCUGUGCUAAUACCGCCUGUGAUCUGAGGCUGAAAGCGGGGGACCAGGCAGCAAUGUUUGGCCUCGCGCCUUUGGACCGGCCGAUGUCAGAUUAGGUAGUUGGUGGGGUAAAGGCCUACCAAGCCGACGAUCUGUAGCUGGUCUGAGAGGACGACCAGCCACACUGGGACUGAGACACGGCCCAGACUCCGACGGGAGGCAGCAGUGGGGAAUGUUGGACAAUGGGCGCAAGCCUGAUCCAGAAAUGCCGCGUGCGGGAAGAAGGCCUUCGGGUUGUAAACCGCUUUUGUACGGAACGAAAAGGCUCUGGCUAAUACCUGGGGCUGAUGACGGUACCGGAAGAAUAAGCACCGGCUAACUACGUG